GACAUGGGGAGACACGGGGAGACACACAGGAAGGAGCUGCACUGUCUCCCCAGUGCCCUCAUGACGGGAUUCAGGCUCCACGCUGGGCCGUGCCCUCAUGACGGGAUUCAGGCUCCACGCUGGGCCGGUACGGGGAGAGACACACGGGGAGAGACACGGGGAGAGACAGGGAGACACGGGGAGAGACACGGGGA